CAAACUGGUGGGGAGGCGCCGCAGGGAGAGGUGAACGCUGUGCCCUGAGGAGGAGGAGGAGGAGGAGGAGGAGGAGGAGUGAUUCUGCUCGCUGGGUAUUCAGUGUGUGUUCAGAGUUGGUUGGUGACGGUGGCGGUGGUGAAGAAUAACGCAGAAUAACACAGUGAAGUAAUAAUGGCAAGUUAAUCAGAAAGAACUAUACAGGAAGUAAAGAAAGCAAUAAGAAGGCAAUAAAGAACAAAUUGACCAAAAAUAUGAAGACAAACUAUGAAAUUGAAAAGAAAAUGCCACGGAAGAAAGAAAAGAUUAAGUGAAUAGUGAAAAAGAGAGAAAGAGAGAGAGAUAGAGAGGAAAGAAAGCAAGAGAUAAGAGAUAAGUAAUCCAAGAAAGGAUGAGAAAAAACGAGAAAGGGCAACAGAAGACGAUAACUUGUGACGAAAACGAAAAGAAGAGGGAAUGAAAUAGAUGAAGAGAGAGAGAGAGAGAGAGAGAGAGAGAGAGAGAGAGAGAGAGAGAGAGAGAGAGAGAGAGAGAGAGAGAGAGAGAGA